AUGAGCUCAGCCAGAGUACUUCUCAGAGAGGAUACCACGUGGAUGCAAAUAAGAGCAGAGAAAGCACCGAGUAGUUACAAUGGUCCUUGCUGGGUGUUUGGAGAAGCUAAUUAUUUGAGAGAGAAACAAGCCUAGGAAAGACUUUUGGGAUUAGGUGAAAAGUGUACCCUUGCAGGGAGCAAGAAGCCAUGCCAUGCCCAGGCUUUCGAUCGCUCCACCACAGGAUAUCAUUGUCCACAGGCCCUAACUUUAGUUCUUGAUUUUUCCAACCUCUCUUUAAAGUUUAUUCUUAUUUUCCAAAACUUAGAAACCAUGCCCAAUGGAAUAUUGGCUGUGAAAUGAAUGAAUGUGUGUCUCUGUUAGAUCAGCCAGGCUGUUUCUCUUAACACAUUCCCCCGACAUGAUUCUGAGAUACAUUAACAUCACAAUGCUUUCUUGACCAUCGAGUCACACAGAAAUGAAACCAGUCUGAAAAGAUUUACUUUCCACAAGGCUAUUUAAGUUACGACUACAAUUUUUCUAGAGUCUCUUCUAGUUCCAAAGUACACAUAUAUGAGUUAUCUUUUUCUUUUCAAGACGAAUUUUCUGGUUAUGCUCCAUUGUAAAUCCCCUUUCGAAGUAGAAAGGACUUGUAAAUAAAUAAUAUGAGAAAUUAUUGUUACUUUUAUCUAGGUUGAGGGGUUUAUAUAAAUUCUGAGAAUAAUGAAGGAUUCUAUACUAUGUAAUCUAUGAAUCCCAUUUUUUGCCGAAGAUGUGACAUGCCAUGAGACUUUGCUGAUGUGAAUGGAUACUAUACAUCUUAUGUUCUUUUUCAAUCACUUAUUCUCCUACCUUAUGAUGCCUGUUUUAUUUUCUUGCCCCAAGUAAUGUUCUCUCUCAGUCUCUGAGGACUUAAUAGCUCCAUAAAGGCAAGGAUCUUUAAUUUUUUUUCGGUUUUAUUCACUGCUUUAUAUCUAGAGCCUAAAACGAUGUCUGGCAUACAAUAAACACUCAAUAUUUAUUGACUGUUGAAUGAGUUUUGGUUUUUAAAUUUAGAUGAUGAAAGCAAAUAUAUAUCUAGCCACUAGUAUGUGCCAAAUACUCUUUUAAGCACUUUACACCUAUUAACUUAUUUAAUCCUUAAAAUAACCCACACAGGCACAGAGAGAAUAUAAAUUUGUCCAAGUUUAUUGGCAGAGGCAGGAUUUGAACUCAAGCAGUCUGCCUCUGAGUCAUUAACCACUGCACUACUACCGACUCUCUAGAUAGCAUACUUGGUAGAGAAAAAACAUGUAUGUUUUCCUUGCUUUUUAAUAUUAAUUUUUAAUUUUAUAUUUCUAAGUUAUUUUAUUAAUUUAAAUAUAUAUUCAUGUAUGCACUGACUAUAUAUUACAAAUUUGUGGUUCAAAAUUCAAAAGGUACAAAGAGAUAUAAAAGGAAAAGUCUCUCUCCUCACUCCUGUUCUUGAGCCAACCAGUUCUCCUUCCUAGAGGCAGCCAACAGCUUGUUCAAGUCUAAUUCUGGCUCUGCGCUCCCCAGACAUGUAACUUCAGGCAGAAUACCUAAUUUUUCUGUGCCUUGGUUCUCCGGCCUGAAAAAUGGGGAUAAUAAAAUACCUCCCACAUGGAGUUUUUAUGAGAAUUAAGUGAAUUAAUAUUUGUAAAAUGCUUAGAAUGGUACCUGUCACAAAAUAAGUGCCAAUAAAUAUUAGCCAUUAUUAAUUUUGUGAGUCCUUCCAGAUAGUUUACUCAUAUGUAAGAUAUAUACAUAUAUACACACACACACCUACACAUACUCCUUUACCUCUCCCCCAGCCAUUUUUUUUACAAAUACAAUUAUGCACCUUGCUUUUCUCACAUUUUAAUUAAAAAAUAAGUCCGCAAAUAUAUUUUCUUCUGAUAACCCACUAUCAGCAUUUCUGAUGUGUGUCUUCUUGGCUUGAAGAAGGAUAACUAUGGUUUCCUGCUACUUUUUUUAUUAUUUCUUAUUAUUGUGAUGGACAUUGACGGAGAAUAGCCAUUCUGAGGGCAACCUGCGAUAGGUAGGAAUUAACAAAAUCAGUCAUGAAAAAUGAGUGAUGGUAUAGAUUGUGACCUUUUGAAGCUGGUUUUGGUCUCUGAUCCAUGUGGCUGUGGCAGCACCAAGAAUUUCUGUAUCAGGAAGUUGGGUACUAGCAAUGAUCUGACAAGAAAGUGGGGCCGGGGGAUCUGUCUUAGAGUUGCAUUUUCAUAGAAAACAUACUGUUUUCACCUGGCUUUAACACAUAUAUGAAGUGGGGGUGUUUGCUGAUGCAAGCUGUGAAGGAGAGGCAUUAUACCUGCCCCCCUCCCCUUUCCAUCAAAGCAUUCCUUGACCCUACCCCUGCCUCAUGGCACUGUUGCCCUUGGCUCUACCAUUUGGAGAAACAAAACAAAAUGAAAACAAAACAAAAGAGAGAAACAUAAGACCCAUUUUCCUGAUAGGCGCCCUGCCCGUAGAAGAAGAGCUGCAGCUUUGGCCCAGUCGGGAGGGUAUGACAACCCCAAGUAGAGAGCUACUGAGAGAGGGAAGAGGAGAAGUAGGGGUUUUAAUUGCAAUUGCAUUUUGAUAGGAAGGGUAGUUGAUCAUACAACAGGUGAAGGAGGUCUUCUAGGGAGUGGGAGGGCCCAGACACUGGCUGUUAGCCAAAUCCUCUCUCAGCUGCUCCCUGUGGUUUGGUGACUCAGGAUUACAGAGGCAUCCUGUUUCAGGGAACAAAAAGAUUUUAGCUGCCAGCAGAGAGCACCACAUACAUUAGAAUGGUAAGGACUGCCACCUCCUUCAAGAACAGGAGUGAGGGUGGUGGUGAAUGGGAAUGGAAGCCUGCAUUCCCUGAUGCAUUUGUGCUCUCUCAAAUCCUGUCUUAGUCUUAGGAAAGGAAGUAAAGUUUCAAGGACGGUUCCGAACUGCUUUUUGUCUCUGGGCUCAAGUUAGAGAACCUUGCAAUCCUCAAAGAUGUUAGGGCAGGAACAAUCUGUCUUUCCAACCCCGUUUGAAUGGCUUUUAGGUCACAAGUUAUCCAAGAAUGUCAGGGAAACUUUGCAGUUACACACCGACUCUCUGGUAAGGAAGCUCCAGAGAGACUGUGCCAUGUGAUGUCCCACAUCAGUAGCCUGGAAGCCACAGAGUAACCCCAGACCCCUGACUCCCGGUCCCUUUGUCCUCUGAGGAGCUUCUCGGUCAGGGCCCUCAUCCCAAAUUCAGCCUUGUUGACCUUUUUCAAACUCAGCACUGAAAGGCUUCAAGGGCAACAGGAAGUCCCCAGGGAAGGGCAGCAUCACCUUUAGGGGCUGCUGCUUUACUGGCUCUGUGCACAGAGAGUUCUGCACAUGGAAUGUGGACACUACAUGUUUCUGAGCUGCUGCAGCUGCUCUGAACAAACGGACUCCCCCACUCCCGGGGAAUCGAAACUACACAGUUUCACUCUGUCUUGUUGUGUUGUCAGCUGGCUUUCAGCAUUCCCUUGUCCCCACAGAAACCUCUACAUGGAUCCCUUGCAUGGGUGUUGUACAAUGGGAGCUUUCAUUCCUGCUUUGGCACCUGCAACCCUGGGUUAACAGUACCAUGGAGCGGAGAAAGCGUUUACCAGAGUGCGGUGCCGCGAUCCCACCCCGUGCAGCAGUUGAGCAGAGGUCAUCUUUAAGUAAAAGCCAUCUGAUAUUUUACUGCAAGCAUGUGGCAGUGAAGACGACAAUGACUGCUAGUAUGGUUUGUGCCACUGCCUUGAUUUCCGCUCAGGCACCAGCAGUCUUACCCACCAUUGCUUUGGUGCAGUUGGUGGAGAUAUCAAUGGAUCAAAAGCGCAAGUAAUAUGUGAGUAUUAUUAUGAAAGGAGCUUGGACCUCAUGAACCACUUAGAAAGAUAUUGGUACAUCCAGGGAUCUGUGGAUGACACUUUGAGUACCAUUGAAAUAGGAAUUAAUCCCUAGAUUAAAAUGAAAUAAUGGGGCUCAGUCCACAGUCUAACCCAAUUUAUAAUUUGACUAUGUUCAAAAAAGUUUACCUUCACAUAUUUUUGUUACUUUAAGAGCAAUGUGCUGUCACUAAAGAAAAUGAUGACGUCAAUUUUUUUUUUUUUAAAAAAAGCAUUUUUGUUACUCAUCACUUUGGGCCAUUGCAAAGGCUGCCUAUUGCUAGACAAGAAAGAAGUCAUUUACCCCACAUCUAUGGUUGUUGUCAUCAAAUGAUCCAUUUAGUGACUCUCUCAGCAAUCAAUGGCAGUUAAUCACAAUGAGUGAGCAAUUUUGGAAAGCUGUGCCAAGUGUCAUUUUGAUAACCAGCUUUUCAGAAGACCAGAGCUGAACAGGAGAGUAAUGGGGGAAUACAGGUAUUCCCACAUCAAUUGGAGAAGUAAUAAUUCCAGCAACAACACUAUUGUCAACAUGGUAUUUUCUCUAGUGAUUCACUUCGUAACAUGUGUUUAUCCUUCCAGAGCAGGGAAGUAUACACCUAUGCCCUUUCAAACUGACAUGUAUAGAAGUCAGAUUUAGGCUUUUCAAGAGAAUUGCCCGGCCCAUGCUGAAAGCUAUAGUAGAAAGUCAGCUGACUCAUCCAGAGCAUUUUUUAACUCACCAACAAGCAGAGGCAGGAGCAGAGCGUGUCAAAGGCCAUUUGAGAGCAGUUAUGCCAACUGGGCAGGCACAAGCCAUGCCAAUUUUUGUGGUUUCUCCAAUUCGUGUCAGAACAAGGACUUGACUCUCAGUUUCCCACACUGGGAGGGUUUCUCUGAGUUAUGCCCAUUGAAUGAGUGUAACAAGGUGAUCUGAUUCAUCCUUGGUCACGAAGCAGGGAAAGAAAGAGUAUUUUUCUAUUUCAAUGGUUAAGGGCAUAAAAACCAUGCAUUGGUCCCAUAUCAGUAGAUAAUCAAUGGUAAAGCAUAAGUAUGCAGCCUUGGUGUAGAGAGUGGCACUUGCUACUCAUUCUUAUGUUUUCAGAGUCAUCGUACUUGUCUUUAUGUUUGAGCUUGUAGAUGUGCUGCCAUGAGGAAUUAACGUUAGAUUCUUGAGCACUUUCUUUCACCUAUUUCUCAGUGUAGCUGCAACGCUCUGUUUACUGUGCUAGGUAUGUCCUAGAAAGUCAAAUGAUUCAGUCAAACCAGCACCAUCAGAGUCAGUGUGAUCUUCCUAAGACACAUCUGAUCAUAAAGCCCCAAACCUACAAAUAAAGGGGAGGGGGCCUGCUGGCUAGCCUGGCAUAGAUCCCAUAAUCAGGGCCUUAUUGACCUCUUUCAUUGCAUCUCCUUCACUUCCUCAUUUGCCACAGGUUUCAGAUACAUGGAUGUGUCUGCAAGAUGCUAGAUGCCUCCUGGAACACAUUUGCCUGGUGGCAGGAGCCAAGUCCUGGCAGAAGUCAGGAAGCAGGUCUAACGGGCAUCAGCGGAGAAACUAGGAAUGCUAACCAUUGUCUCUUUCUCUUUCAGAGCUGUCUCUCUUCAUUUCCAAAAUUAAAAGAUUUUUACUUCCCCCCACCUCAUUUAUACAUUUCGCUGGUCAUUGUAGGCCUUCUCAUGAUAUAAAAAACAAUGACCAUUACCUCAUUGGUAAAUAGGUAGAUCAAAGUCUUUAUGUAUAGCUACGUAUCUAAUUUUUUUCCUUAAUUAUCUCAAUACCAAAAUCAAGACAAGUUGUGGGUUGGGUAGGCACAGGAGGAUGGGAGUGGGCUUGCCUUCCAGGCAGCCUGACAAGCCUUGCCGAGGUCAGGUUGCUUUGCCAUCAGAGUCCAUCUUCUGACUUCAGGCAUGUCAGGUCUUUGGCAGUCUCUCCUCUCUGGCUUCCCCUCAGUUAAUCCCCUCCUGGCCAAGCUUGUCAGGUGGGCCCUAUUUGGGUCCAAAGAAGCACUAAAUAAAUGUCGAUUGAGGCAGCUUAUCCUAAUGAUGGCAAUUAUGACAGUGAUGUUUUUCUUUUAAGCCAUAAAAGCACUAGAUGUUACAGAUGGAAGGGAUUUUCAAUAAUUUUUUGGAGGAAGAAACUGAGCCCCUGAGAGGCAAAGUAUAUAGUUUGAUUGCAAGUUCUCCCUAGUAGGAGAGGCCAGGAAUCAACCAAAAGAGCAAGAAAAGAAGCCACUACAGUAAUGAGCUUCGGCUGCCUGCACCUCUUCCAGCCACAAAGGAAAAAAAAAUGAGAAAGCUGCCUCUAUUCUACUUCUUUUCAAAGCUGCCCAACUGUUAAUAUUUUAGUAAGUAAGAAGCAGUGUCUAAAUUCUCAUUCAAGUUCUCCCAUCCAUUGAGUUAAUAAUCUAAAUUAUAAGAAUAUUUAUUUUUCACAGGAUUAAGUAAACUUUUACUUAAUGUAAAAACAUGGCUCAUAAACAUUUGUAUUCUUCCCAAACUAAUCCAUAUGCCAACAUGCUUAUCUUUCUUCCCUGGGGUAGGAAACCAGGAGACUUUAUGAAAAUAUAUGAAUACAGGCACAUGGGUAUGUUUUUUCCAUGUGGUAGCUCAAAUAUGGUUCUUCCACCUCAAUCUCAAGCUCUCCAGACUGCAGACAUCUUAUCUACACAUCAAACUAGCAUUUAUUUUACCAAGGGCAUUGCUUCCCCUUUUCUAUCCCUUAUUUCAACAGACAGGAGAAGAAUAUCCAGAUAAAGGUCUCCAGGCAAACACACUAGAGAACCUGUAAAAGACUCUGAGGAUGUUUGACGCCUUGAGUCUCUACACUGAUGCCAUCAUCUUACUUCCUAAUCUCUGAUCUUUUCCAGGACUCGGCUCCCUAUGCCCAGUAAAUAUAAAUUUUCAGAACUGUGAUCACAGCCCUGGCUAAAUAGUGCCCCUGGUCAAACCUUCGUAGGCAAAAUGUUUUCUCCAGCUUUCUGCUAGUUCUUAGAAGCCAGUGUGAAGGAAAAGGGAUGUCAUGAAGCAUCACUCUCCAAGCUGAUCAUCUAUUCCAUUGCCUUGAGAAUUAUGUAGAAUAAAAUCACUGUCUCCCUAAAUGAUAAAAGUCUAAGACUUUGUCCCAAAGUUGGGUGUUCUCUGAGGAAUUGCUGGAGACACUAUUGCCCCCUGUGGCUAGGUAAGCUUUCCAGACACAAUCCAAGGGAAGGAAAUGCCUUUGGUGAAGGAGGAGAGACUCCUACGUGGCAUGGGGACCAGCAGCUGAGAGUGGUUGUAUGGGUAAUUCACACCAAAAGCACUCCAAAUGCUACUUUCAUCUAAAUGGACUAUAAGGGUUGUCAUCAGGCCAGGGAGAUGUAGAUAUUUCAAAUCUGAAUUUCACAGUAUUAGCAUUACAUCAAGCCAAAAAGAUUAAGAAAGUAAAUGACUGUAAUUUGUCUAAAGCAGAAUGUUUGCUAAAACCAGGCAGGUCUCUAAAAAAAAAAAAAAAGAGACAGCAGUUGAAAUUAUUUUGUAAAUGUUAAUUGUAUAAUUUACAUUAAACUCUUUCCUAUGUAUUAUAGCCUUUGAGAUAUGCUAUUUAGUCUUAAGAGAACUGGUUACCUCAUUUGGAAUGACUCAAUACAAAGAUCUUAAAUAUUUAACCCUGAUCUUGGUAUAAAUGUAAAACAGCUGGUUUCUUUUUAAGAAAUUUUGACUUUUAUUAAGCAAAACAAUUCUGAGAGUGCAUUUUCUGACAAAUUCAUAUGAUUAACCUCAACAUUCUGUUUACAAUAUAUAAUCACACAGGAAAAAAUGCAUAAAAGCAGGAUAACUUACUUAAUUCACAAAUUCUUUGUUAUUUCCCAUAGAGUGUUAUUUCCCAGAGUUUCACAUCUGGAAAAGCUCAUGCAAUUAAACAGUAUGUCCAAGAACAGAUCAUCUGAAGGAAUUCCAAAUAUAUGCUUUUUUUUUUUGGCAUUGCAUUGCUGGUUUUAUCUAAUGGAGAGCAUUUGAACACAAUAAGUCAAGGGAAAAAUUUUUAAAAAGACUCUGUGUUAUAGUGUCCUAGGACAUGAAGGGACACCCUAAGUCUGCUGGGGGUUGUCCUGUGCCUCAAGGUAAGACUGUACCAAAACAAUUCCAGAGAAUUCACUGUCUUAAAUAUUUAGGAAAGGAGCUCUAUGCUGCCAUUGAUCCUGUGUCCUCAUUAUUUAUUUGCAGCCAUGAAGGCUUCCUUUGUUCAUAAUCUAUAUCCUUCCUCUUAAGCCCAUUUUUUUUCCUCUCUCUCUCUCUGAGAACAAGGCCACCAGACAAAGUCACAGCCCCAGCAGGCUCCUGCUGCUCUCCAAAUUCUUACAACUGCACAAUGGUCACUGCAGAGAAAACUCAACUCAUUGCUGUGUGGGAGGUCAGAAUUAAAAUGGCAAUAGUUGAGAAGGGAGGAGAAGAGUAAAAAUAAAGAAGAAAAUAGGCGUUCUUCAGCCACAGAAAACAUUUUAUGACAAUGCUACAGCACAAAAUUAGCUAACACAUUGCAAGACUUGAUUACAUGACAUUGGAGGAAUUAUUCCAUUUGGCAUUUUACUCCCAGCCUUUUCAAGAGAGCUGUAUUAAAAUCUGGCAGAGGGGAGGGGAGGGGCUGUGUCUGCUUUGCAGCAGGGAUUAGAAUGAUGUAUGACAGGAGUUUAUGAUGCUGCCUCUCAGGUUUUUCUGACCUCCCUAUCUAAAUAGGUUCCUGCCUUCCCCCACCAUUGAUAUUAACCAUCAUAGCAUUAUGCUUAUUUUCUGCUUAGCAUUUAUUACAAUCUGUAAUUAAUUUUUUAAAAAUCGGUUUGUUGUCCCAUCUUCACACCAAAAUAUUGUUCCAGGAAGGCAAUAACCCUACUUGUUAAUCAUUUUUAUACCUGUAUCACAGGCAGCACCUACAUAAAUAGGAUAAAAGAAUAAGUGUGUAAACAAAUGCUAUCCCCAGAACCCAGACCUCCUUGACUCCAUUGCCUUAGAAGACUUUAUUUCCUGCCCACCCAUCCCUCUGUAGCAGGAGCCUCAUGAAUCAUAUUUGUCUGCAUUGCCUUUAUUAAUGGAUAACUAUGGACAGAGUUCUCCUUGCAGUUCUCCUCUGUGUGAGCAUAGCCAGCCAACACCCUACAGUUAAAGCUUGCAGUUGUUUGGUGUUUAACUUUGAGCACAUCGAUGGACUCAAGUUUCUAUUUGCAAAGUCAGACCACAGAAAUUAAGUUAAUUGAGACAUGAUGGCAAAAGAAUUUCCCUUUGGGGAUGAGUUUAUAAGCUUCUCCAGUCUUUUGGGAUGAUUGGCACAUCUUUUCUGCCUAAUCCUUUCCCCGUACAAAAAUGAAGGAAAAAUGAUCUGCUAUGGAAGAAAGAAACAAAGGACUGUGCAGACAUUUGAUUAUCUUUUAAAGUGAGAGAUGAACUAAAAACCAUGUAAUGGCCUCUUUAAGUGAAUGGUAGAGAGGAAAAAAAGCUAAAGUUGAAACUAGCAAAUCUUUUCUUCAGAAAAGCAAGCUGAAACUUUGGUUGAGUAAAUAAAACCUGCUAUAGCUUAUAUUAGAAAAGCACAUAGGGAGAGUAACCAAAAUAAAAUUUGCAUCUAAGAGUUAUCCAUUAGUUAGAGGUUUGUAUUUAUCAUUUUCAGGCUUUGAGUUAUAUGGUGCUUGUGUAUUUUCAAAUCUUUAUUUGCAAAUUGCAGUGCAUAUGGUGUAGUGGGGAGAACAGUGGGCCUAGCACAUAGAGGGGCCCCAAAAAAUCUCAGGUAAAAGAAUAAAAGUCAAGUAACAAGAAGAUUGUCCAAGUAUCACUUAUGUAUAACCUUGGAAAAAUGAUGUAACCUCUCAGAGCCUCAAAAUCCCAUUUUGUAAGAUGCUGUCUGCCCAACUCAAGAGGGUUAUAUAAAACCCAAAUGACAUAAUGCAUAUUAAAAAUAUAUAUAUUAUAAAGCCAAAUUAAAUGUGAAGUAUAAUAGUAAUAUUUUGUAACAGAAUUA
rnacentral:lncRNA from 1 species